UUAAUUAUAUACAAUAAUACUAUUUAAUAUAUCCUAAUAUGGAACUAAAUAUUUUGUUAAUAUAUAAUAUAUCCUCCUAUAUAUAUAAAUAUAUAUCAUUAAUAACACUAUAUACUAUAUAUAUGAUAUACUAUAUCAUUUAUUUCUUUUAUAGAUAAAUAUAACAUAUAUAUAUAUAAUUAAAUAUUGUACAUUAGUAAUUAAUAUAU
rnacentral:lncRNA from 1 species